rnacentral:rRNA from 1 species
GACGAACGCUGACGGCGUGCCUAACACAUGCAAGUCAAGGAGAACGUUCCCUUCGGGGAAUUAUUAAACUGGCGCACGGGUGAGUAACGCGUGGGUUAUCUGCCCCUUUCACAGGCAUAACUUCGGGAAACCGGAGCUAAUACCUGAUGAGGCCUCCGGGUCAAAGAUUACGGAAAGGGAUGAGCCCGCGUCUGAUUAGCUAGUUGGUAGGGUAAUGGCUUACCAAGGCUACGAUCAGUAACUGGUCUGAGAGGAUGAUCAGUCACACUGGAACUGAGACACGGUCCAG